UUUAAGAGCAGUGCUUCGCUCGGUGUUACUCUGAAUCUCACUAGGGCUUCCACCUUGCCCUCUGUUGCAAUAUCCCCGUUUCUUCCGUACCUAAAUGCGCGUUACUCUUGUACCUGCUGCGGCGCCAGGUGUGCAACCAUCACCAACAGCAGUUGCGCCAACAACCGAAUCAGGGGGAGCGAGUGAGGCAGCGCCGACGGCUCCUAGUAAAUCAGGCUCGGCGGUGUUCUCUGUCAAUCGGAUCUCUUGUU